GUCCCUGUAGUAUACACCUAUUACACUGGUCUUGUAAACCAGAAAAGGGAGAAGUACUCCCCAUGGACUC
rnacentral:tRNA from 1 species